UAAACAUGCUCAUGAGACGCGCUGAAAGAUUAGAAAGACAACGUCAUUUGUCGCUUGACGUGUGAGGAUUACGAAGGAGUGUUCAUAAGCUCAGUUGAAUCACAAACUACUUUCACCAAACAAGCCUGCAUCUCUUCCGCAGCAACAUGAAAACAGGGCUGAUGUUGGCGAUGUUGCUGGUUGUGAUGGUGGUGGCAUCAGCAGCACCUGCCGUUGAACGAAACCUCAUCGAUGAUUUACUGAAAGUGUCGCCAGUACCAGUCACAUGCAUUCCCAUUGCGUGUCUAGUGGCGCCUUGUCCGUCCUGCCUCAACCCGUUUGGAUAAAUGUCGAUAUUCGGUGAAUAAAGCGACCAAGUCGUGUUGUACGGA